GUACGGUCGCAAGGCUAAAACUCAAAGGAAUUGACGGGGGCUCACACAAGCGGUGGAGGAUGUGGCUUAAUUCGAGGCUACGCGAAGAACCUUAUCCUAGACUUGACAUGCUUGAGAAUCCCUAUGAAAGUAGAGAGUGCCCUUCGGGGAGCUCUUGCACAGGUGCUGCAUGGCUGUCGUCAGCUCGUGUCGUGAGAUGUUGGGUUAAGUCCCGCAACGAGCGCAACCCUCGCCUUUAGUUGCCAUCAUUUAGUUGGGCACUCUAGAGGGACUGCCGGUGAUAAGCCGGAGGAAGGUGGGGAUGACG
rnacentral:rRNA from 1 species